GGAGGGUGCAAGCAUUAAUCGGAAUUAUUGGGCGUAAAGGGCGCGUAGGUGGCAAUUUAAGUCAUAUGUGAAAUUCUGGGACUUAAUCCUGGAGCUGCGUAUGAAACUAAAUAGCUAGAGGUAAGGCGGAGAAAACGGAAUUUCCCGUGUAGCGGUGAAAUGCGUGGAUAUGGGAAGGAACACCGGAGGCGAAGGCGGUUUUCUAGCUUUUAACCUGACACUGAGGCGCGAAAGCGAGGGGAGCAAACAGGAUUAGAUACCCGUGGUAGUCCUUGCUGUAAACGUUGCAUACUUGAUGUAACAGGACUCAAUCCCCUGUUGUGUCGAAGCUAACGCGAUAAGUAUGCCGCCUGAGGAUACGCUCGCAAGGUG
rnacentral:rRNA from 1 species